rfam:Salmo salar isolate Sally breed double haploid chromosome ssa04, whole genome shotgun sequence.
UCCCAUGUGGCUCAGUUGGUAGAGCAAGGCACUUGCAAUGCCAGGGUUGUGGGUUUGAUUCCCACAGGGGAC